AGAGUUUGAUCCUGGCUCAGAUUGAACGCUGGCGGCAGGCCUAACACAUGCAAGUCGAAUGGUAACAGGAAACAGCUUGCUGUUUCGCUGACGAGUGGCGGACGGGUGAGUAAUGUCUGGGAAACUGCCUGAUGGAGGGGGAUAACUACUGGAAACGGUAGCUAAUACCGCAUAACGUCGCAAGACCAAAGAGGGGGACCUUCGGGCCUCUUGCCAUCAGAUGUGCCCAGAUGGGAUUAGCUAGUAGGUGGGGUAACGGCUCACCUAGGCGACGAUCCCUAGCUGGUCUGAGAGGAUGACCAGCCACACUGGAACUGAGACACGGUCCAGACUCCUACGGGAGGCAGCAGUGGGGAAUAUUACACAAUGGGCGCAAGCCUGAUGCAGCCAUGCCGCGUGUAUGAAGAAGGCCUUCGGGUUGUAAAGUACUUUCAGCGGGGAGGAAGGGAGUAAAGUUAAUACCUUUGCUCAUUGACGUUACCCGCAGAAGAAGCACCGGCUAACUCCGUGCCAGCAGCCGCGGUAAUACGGAGGGUGCAAGCGUUAAUCGGAAUUACUGGGCGUAAAGCGCACGCAGGCGGUUUGUUAAGUCAGAUGUGAAAUCCCCGGGCUCAACCUGGGAACUGCAUCUGAUACUGGCAAGCUUGAGUCUCGUAGAGGGGGGUAGAAUUCCAGGUGUAGCGGUGAAAUGCGUAGA
rnacentral:rRNA from 1 species